rnacentral:pre_miRNA from 1 species
UCCCUGAGACCCUAACUUGUGACGGUUUGCCUUCAUGUGCACGGGUUGGGUUCUUGGGAGCU